rnacentral:rRNA from 1 species
GCCUAUACAUGCGAGUCGAACGAAGNAGCAAUACUNAGUGGCAGACGGGUGAAUAACAUGUGGGUAUCUUCCCUUUGGUGAGGAAUAACANGAGGAAACUUGUGCUAAUACCUCAUAAGUCUUUACGGAGAAAGCUUUAUGCGCCAAUGGAUGAGCCCGCACUUGAUUAGUUUGUUGGUAGGGUAAUGGCCUACCAAGACUAUGAUCAAUAGCUGAUUUGAGAGGAUGAUCAGCCACAUUGGGACUGAGACACGGCCCAAACUCCUACGGGAGGCAGCAGUAGGGAAUCUUGCACAAUGGAGGAAACUCUGAUGCAGCGAUGCCGCGUGAGUGAAGAAGGCCCUUGGGUUGUAAAGCUCUUUCGUCGGGGAAGAAAAUGACUGUACCCGAAUAAGAAGGUCCGGCUAACUUCGUGCCAGCAGCCGCGGUAAUACGAAGGGACCUAGCGUAGUUCGGAAUUACUGGGCUUAAAGAGUUCGUAGGUGGUUAAAAAAGUUGGUUGUGAAAUCCCGGAGCUUAACUCCGGAACUGCAAUCAAAACUUUUUAGCUAGAGUAUGAUAGAGGAAAGCAGAAUUUCUAGUGUAGAGGUGAAAUUCGUAGAUAUUAGAAAGAAUACCAAUUGCGAAGGCAGCUUUCUGGAUCAUUACUGACACUGAGGAACGAAAGCAUGGGUAGCGAAGAGGAUUAGAUACCCUCGUAGUCCAUGCCGUAAACGAUGUGUGUUAGACGUUGGAAAUUUAUUUUCAGUGUCGCAGCGAAAGCGAUAAACACACCGCCUGGGGAGUACGACCGCAAGGUUAAAACUCAAAUGAAUUGACGGGGACCCGCACAAGUAGUGGAGCAUGUGGUUUAAUUCGAAGAUACGCGCAGAACCUUACCAACACUUGACAUGUUCGUCGCGACUCUA